rnacentral:piRNA from 1 species
UGGUUUUAUAGUAGUAGGCUC